CCCAAAACAGCUGACGAAGGGAAAGGAGACCCAGGUCGACACCUCACCAGCCCGCUCAUUUUGAGGUAGAACGCUGGUGAGAAAUGUUGCUUUUCCAGUGUUGUGUUGAUUUUGGAUUAUGUUUAAGACUUGUACAGUGGCAACAAAGUGAAGAAUAAUGAGACUUUAGUAACCAUCCCAGUAUAAUAUCUGGGCCCAUCAAGAGCUCCAAAUGAUGAAAAAAGUUAUUAAUAUCAAAGCAAUCCAGACGGUACAAAGAAUCAAUGAAAUUUUGACGGUUCCGGAUAUAAAGAUAUAUGCAUGUGCGGCUUAGUAUGGGUGCAGCUUCUCCUGCUAUGUCUUAGAGCUCCAGUCCAAGGUAAGAGAUCUUACACAGCUCUUUGCAUACCUGUAGUUUCUUUGCAGAGCAAUACCUACACAAAAU